GAUGAACGCUGGCGGCGUGCCUAAUACAUGCAAGUCGAACGCUGGAGAUCUAGCUUGCUAGCUCGAAGGAGUGGCGAACGGGUGAGUAAUACAUAAGCAACCUACCCACGAAGACUGGGAUAAUCUCUGGAAACGGGGACUAAUACCGGAUAGGUAAUCGGAAGGCAUCUUCUGGUUAUUAAAGGUUAAAAACACUGGUGGAUGGGCUUAUGGCGCAUUAGUUAGUUGGUGAGGUAACGGCCCACCAAGACGAUGAUGCGUAGCCGGCCUGAGAGGGUGAACGGCCACAUUGGGACUGAGACACGGCCCAGACUCCUACGGGAGGCAGCAGUAGGGAAUUUUCGGCAAUGGGGGCAACCCUGACCGAGCAACGCCGCGUGAGUGAAGACGGCCUUCGGGUUGUAAAGCUCUGUUGUAAGGGAAGAACGGUAGAUAGAGAAUAUCUAAGUGACGGUACCUAACCAGAAAGCCACGGCUAACUACGUG
rnacentral:rRNA from 1 species